GGCGUGCCUAAUACAUGCAAGUCGAGCGGACAGAUGGGAGCUUGCUCCCUGAUGUUAGCGGCGGACGGGUGAGUAACACGUGGGUAACCUGCCUGUAAGACUGGGAUAACUCCGGGAAACCGGGGCUAAUACCGGAUGCUUGUUUGAACCGCAUGGUUCAAACAUAAAAGGUGGCUUCGGCUACCACUUACAGAUGGACCCGCGGCGCAUUAGCUAGUUGGUGAGGUAAUGGCUCACCAAGGCAACGAUGCGUAGCCGACCUGAGAGGGUGAUCGGCCACACUGGGACUGAGACACGGCCCAGACUCCUACGGGAGGCAGCAGUAGGGAAUCUUCCGCAAUGGACGAAAGUCUGACGGAGCAACGCCGCGUGAGUGAUGAAGGUUUUCGGAUCGUAAAGCUCUGUUGUUAGGGAAGAACAAGUACCGUUCGAAUAGGGCGGUACCUUGACGGUACCUAACCAGAAAGCCACGGCUAACUACGUGCCAGCAGCCGCGGUAAUACGUAGGUGGCAAGCGUUGUCCGGAAUUAUUGGGCGUAAAGGGCUCGCAGGCGGUUUCUUAAGUCUGAUGUGAAAGCCCCCGGCUCAACCGGGGAGGGUCAUUGGAAACUGGGGAACUUGAGUGCAGAAGAGGAGAGUGGAAUUCCACGUGUAGCGGUGAAAUGCGUAGAGAUGUGGAGGAACACCAGUGGCGAAGG
rnacentral:rRNA from 1 species